CGGGCGCUGCCUGGGUUUGGAGGAUGGAGGGGGAGGGGACCCGCGGGGGCCAGGACUCAGCUGGGAGGCUGAAGGCGUGGGGUGGCCAAUUGCUUGGUCACACACAAAACCUUCCUGCAACUUGCCUCUUCCAGGGGACCAGCUGUGCUGGAGUCAGUGAUGCUGAGAGAUUAUUACGUGCUACCUCAAUGGCUCUGUUAGGUUAGAGAACAUCGUUCCCAGUAAGGACUAUGUCUCCACCAGCGAAGUGAGGAUUCUACUGAAUUUGAAGCUGGGUCUACCACCUGGCCACCUUGGACUCCUCAUGCCAGUGGAUCAGAAGGGAGUUAUAGUAAUGUUGGGUUUUAUGAUAAGAUUUAUAAAGAUGCUCAGUCAUCGCUGCCAGCCCCUGCGCCAUGUCCUCCCUCUGCUCCGUGCUCCUCCGCCUGUGGCGAUGGAAGAAGAGAUCCCUUGCUCUUCAUUGACAAUGGCUCCAGCAUGUGAAAAGCGGCUUUGCUGGGACAAUGCCCUCUGAGCCAUGUUCCCCUCCAUCGUCAGGUGCCCCUGGCACCAGGGCAUGAUGGUGGGCAUGGGCCAGAAGGACUCCUAUGUGGGCGACGAGGCCCAGAGCAAGUGUAGUAUCCUGACCCUGAAGUACCCCAUCAAGCGCCGCAUCGUCACAAACUGGGACGACAUGGAGAAGAUCUGGCACCACAUUUUCUACAACGAGCUGCGCGUGGCCCUGGAGGAGCAGCUGGUGCUACUGACCGAGGCCCUGCUAAACCCCAAGGCCAACAGGGAGAAGAUGACUCAGAUCAUGUUUGAGACCUUCAACACCCUGGCCAUGUACGCAGCCAUUCAGGCUGUGCUGAUGCUCUAUGCCUCUGGGCGCACCACUGGCAUUGUCAUGGACUCUGGAGAUGGGGUCACCCACACGGUGCCCAUCUACAAGGGCUACACCCUCCCUCACACCAUCUUGCAUCUGGAUCUGGCUGGCCAGGACCUUACUGACUACCUCAUGAAGAUCCCCACCUAGCAUAGCUACAGCUUCACCGCCAUGGCCAAGCGAAAGAUCGUGCGCCACAUCAAGGAGAAGCUAUGCUAUGUUGCUCCGGACUUUGAGCAGGAGAUGGCCACUGCUGCAUCCUCCUUCUCCCUGGAGAAGAGCUAUGAGCUGCCUGACAGCCAGGUCAUCACUAUCGGCAAAUGAGCGGUUCCGGUGUCCGAGGCACUGUUCCAGCCUUCCUUCCUGGGCAUGGAAUCCUGUGGCAUUCAUGAAAGUACCUUCAACUCCAUCAUGAAGAGUGAGGUGGACAUCCCAAAGACUUGUAUGCCAACACAGUGCUGUCUGGUGGCACCACCAUGUACCCUGGCAUCACCAACAGGAUGCAGAAGGAGAUCACUGCCCUGGCACCCAGCACCAUGAAGAUCAAGAUAUCGUGCCCCCAGAGUGCAAGUACUCAGUGUGAAUCUCUGGCUCCAUCCUGGCCUCACUGUCCACCUGCCUGCAGAUGUGAAUUAGCAAGCAGGAGUACCACGAGUCGGGUCCCUCCAUCGUCCACCGCAAAUGCUUCUAAAUGGACUGCAAGCAGAUGCAUAGCAUUUCUGCAUGGGUUAAUUCAGAAGUAUAAAUUUGUCCAUGGAAAAUGCAUACACCUUAUGCUGUCCUCACGAUACCGGAAUAAGCCUUUGAAAAGAAAUUGUC